GACGAACGCUGGCGGCGUGCUUAACACAUGCAAGUCGAACGGUGAAGCGCCUUCCUUUUUGGUGGGUGUGGAUGAGUGGCGAACGGGUGAGUAACACGUGAGUAACCUGCCCCCUUCUUCUGGAUAACCGCAUGAAAGUGUGGCUAAUACGGGAUAUUCUGGGUCUGUCGCAUGAUGGGUCUGGGAAAGAUAUUGUUUCGGUGGGGGAUGGGCUCGCGGCCUAUCAGCUUGUUGGUGGGGUGAUGGCCUACCAAGGCGGUGACGGGUAGCCGGCCUGAGAGGGUGGACGGUCACACUGGGACUGAGACACGGCCCAGACUCCUACGGGAGGCAGCAGUGGGGAAUAUUACACAAUGGGCGCAAGCCUGAUGCAGCGACGCCGCGUGAGGGAUGGAGGCCUUCGGGUUGUGAACCUCUUUCGCCAGUGAAGCAGGCCUGCCUCGUUUGUGGGUGGGUUGACGGUAGCUGGAGAAGAAGCGCCGGCUAACUACGUG
rnacentral:rRNA from 1 species